rnacentral:tRNA from 31 species
CGGGAAGUAGCUCAGCUUGGUAGAGCACAUGGUUUGGGACCAUGGGGUCGCAGGUUCAAAUCCUGUCUUCCCGACCA